GGACGAACGCUGGCGGCGUGCCUAACACAUGCAAGUCGAGCGAGGAGAUCCUCGGGAUGAUCCUAGCGGCGGACGGGUGAGGUAACACGUGGGCAACCUGCCUCAUAGAGAGGAAUAGCCUUCCGAAAGGAGAUUAAUACCUCAUAACAUUGCAGUUUCGCAUGGAACAGCAAUUAAAGGAGCAAUCCGCUAUGAGAUGGGCCCGCGGCGCAUUAGCUAGUUGGUGAGGUAACGGCUCACCAAGGCGACGAUGCGUAGCCGACCUGAGAGGGUGAUCGGCCACAUUGGGACUGAGACACGGCCCAGACUCCUACGGGAGGCAGCAGUGGGGAAUAUUGCACAAUGGGGGAAACCCUGAUGCAAGCAACGCCGCGUGAGUGAUGACGGCCUUCGGGUUGUAAAGCUCUGUCUUCAGGGACGAUAAUGACGGUACCUGAGGAGGAAGCCACGGCUAACUACGUGCCAGCAGCGGC
rnacentral:rRNA from 1 species